CCAAACUUGGUCAUUUAGAGGAAGUAAAAGUCGUAACAAGGUCUCCGUAGGUGAACCUGCGGAGGGAUCAUUACAGAGUUUUUAACUCCCAACCCAUGUGAACUUACCACUGUUGCCUCGGCGGCAGGUCGUCUCUCGGGAUGGCAGCCGCCGGUGGACUACUAAACUAUUGUUAAUUUUUGGCAUUCUGAAUUUUAAACUUAAUAAGUUAAAACUUUCAACAACGGAUCUCUUGGUUCUGGCAUCGAUGAAGAACGCAGC
rnacentral:misc_RNA from 1 species